UACGUAGGGUGCGAGCGUUGUCCGGAAUUAUUGGGCGUAAAGCGCUCGUAGGCGGUUGGUCGCGUCGGCCGUGAAAACCUGCAGCUUAACUGUGGGCUUGCGGUCGAUACGGGCAUCACUGGAGUUCGGCAGGGGAGACUGGAAUUCCUGGUGUAGCGGUGAAAUGCGCAGAUAUCAGGAGGAACACCGGUGGCGAAGGCGGGUCUCUGGGCCGAUACUGACGCUGAGGAGCGAAAGCGUGGGGAGCGAACAGG
rnacentral:rRNA from 1 species